AGUGAACGCUGGCGGCGUGCCUAAUACAUGCAAGUCGAACGGAGUGGCGCACGGGUGAGUAAUUUAUAUCUGAUCUGCCCUACACUAGAGGGCAACAGUUGGUAACGGCUGCUAAUACUCCAUAUUGUCUGAUGAGGCUAUAUUGUAUCAGCUAGUUGGUGAGGUAAUGGCUCACCAAGGGUAUGACGCAUAACUUGUCUGAGAGGAUGAUCAGUCACACUGGAACUGAGACAGGGUCCAGACUUCUACGGGAGGCAGCAGUAGGGAAUAUUGCUCAAUGGGGGAAAACCUGAAGCAGCAACGCCGCGUGGAGGAUGACACUGUUCGGAGCGUAAACUCCUUUUGUUAGGGAAGCGGUACCUAACGAAUAAGCACCGGCUAACUCCGUGCCAGCAGCCGCGGUAAUAC
rnacentral:rRNA from 1 species